GACUAGGUUUUUGAUACAACCACAUGUAUUUCUCUUGUUGGGAAUGGUGGUCUGAUGCUGAUUUUGUGGUCUUGGAAAAAAUCUAUGGAAGAUGCAAAGAACAACCAAUAAUAAUGACUAAA